GCUGGCGGCGUGCCUAAUACAUGCAAGUCGAACGAACUCUGGUAUUGAUUGGUGCUUGCAUCAUGAUUUACAUUUGAGUGAGUGGCGAACUGGUGAGUAACACGUGGGAAACCUGCCCAGAAGCGGGGGAUAACACCUGGAAACAGAUGCUAAUACCGCAUAACAACUUGGACCGCAUGGUCCGAGCUUGAAAGAUGGCUUCGGCUAUCACUUUUGGAUGGUCCCGCGGCGUAUUAGCUAGAUGGUGGGGUAACGGCUCACCAUGGCAAUGAUACGUAGCCGACCUGAGAGGGUAAUCGGCCACAUUGGGACUGAGACACGGCCCAAACUCCUACGGGAGGCAGCAGUAGGGAAUCUUCCACAAUGGACGAAAGUCUGAUGGAGCAACGCCGCGUGAGUGAAGAAGGGUUUCGGCUCGUAAAACUCUGUUGUUAAAGAAGAACAUAUCUGAGAGUAACUGUUCAGGUAUUGACGGUAUUUAACCAGAAAGCCACGGCUAACUACGUGCCAGCAGCCGCGGUAAUACGUAGGUGGCAAGCGUUGUCCGGAUUUAUUGGGCGUAAAGCGAGCGCAGGCGGUUUUUUAAGUCUGAUGUGAAAGCCUUCGGCUCAACCGAAGAAGUGCAUCGGAAACUGGGAAACUUGAGUGCAGAAGAGGACAGUGGAACUCCAUGUGUAGCGGUGAAAUGCGUAGAUAUAUGGAAGAACACCAGUGGCGAAGGCGGCUGUCUGGUCUGUAACUGACGCUGAGGCUCGAAAGUAUGGGUAGCAAACAGGAUUAGAUACCCUGGUAGUCCAUACCGUAAACGAUGAAUGCUAAGUGUUGGAGGGUUUCCGCCCUUCAGUGCUGCAGCUAACGCAUUAAGCAUUCCGCCUGGGGAGUACGGCCGCAAGGCUGAAACUCAAAGGAAUUGACGGGGGCCCGCACAAGCGGUGGAGCAUGUGGUUUAAUUCGAAGCUACGCGAAGAACCUUACCAGGUCUUGACAUACUAUGCAAAUCUAAGAGAUUAGACGUUCCCUUCGGGGACAUGGAUACAGGUGGUGCAUGGUUGUCGUCAGCUCGUGUCGUGAGAUGUUGGGUUAAGUCCCGCAACGAGCGCAACCCUUAUUAUCAGUUGCCAGCAUUAAGUUGGGCACUCUGGUGAGACUGCCGGUGACAAACCGGAGGAAGGUGGGGAUGACGUCAAAUCAUCAUGCCCCUUAUGACCUGGGCUACACACGUGCUACAAUGGAUGGUACAACGAGUUGCGAACUCGCGAGAGUAAGCUAAUCUCUUAAAGCCAUUCUCAGUUCGGAUUGUAGGCUGCAACUCGCCUACAUGAAGUCGGAAUCGCUAGUAAUCGCGGAUCAGCAUGCCGCGGUGAAUACGUUCCCGGGCCUUGUACACACCGCCCGUCACACCAUGAGAGUUUGUAACACCCAAAGUCGGUGGGGUAACCUUUUAGGAACCAGCCGCCUAAGGUGGGACAGAUGAU
rnacentral:rRNA from 2 species